ensembl:lncRNA
CAGGUGAGGGCAGAGCUACUGAUGGUCUCCCUGGAGGAGGUGGAUGGGGGCCAGGUGUCACAGCUAAAUAGUGAACUUCAGAGGCUGGAGCUGGAAGUGGCAGAGAGAGAACAGCACCUGAGGGAGAAGGAACAUGCUCUGAGGAGUCUGGAGAGACUGAGAGAUGCCGAGAGGACAGAGGCGCAAAUCAAGGUUUCUACACUGGAGCUGAAGUUGAUUAACCUAAAGGAGCAGGCCGGUGGAGAAGGUCUAUGUCAUGGAGGCCAAGAACAAGCUCAGCACACUGACUCACUGAGGUCUCAGCUAGAGGAGUGCAGGAGGAGAGCCAAUCAGCUGCAACAGGAGAGAGACCAGGCAGUUCAGAGGCUACAGACUCUACGCCGGCUACAUCAGGCUACGGAACAGGAAGCAGCUGCAGGCAGCAAGAAAGAGAGAAUGGUUUGUGUGGAUAACAUAGUGAACCAGGAUAAACAGAGAAGACUGGUAACAGAACAGCUGAAGAGUCUAUUUAAGGAGCGUGAGCAGUUGGGUCAGGUCUAUGGUAGAUCAGCAGGAGGAGGAGGAGUUCUGCAAGACUGGGCACCGAAGUCGAAGGUCAUCAAGAACUCCCUUGACACACUACACAGCCAGAGGAAGAGAGAGAAGGAGCUGAUGAGGGAGCAGCAGUUUGCAGGACUGAGGCCUGUGUCUGAGGAGCAAGAAGAGGAGGACGACCCAGAGAGGGAGGUGGAGGAGGAGGUGACUCGCCUUAGGGAGGAACUCCACAGCAAGACCCACGCGAUGUCAGCGAUGAGUGUGGAAAUCAGCGAUCUGAAAGAGAGAAAUGAAAACCUCCAGAAAGCCAAGCUAAGGUUUCAGCCACAGAUCCAAGGGUUGGGCGCCACAGCGUCUAACUCUUCAGAGAAGACCACGUCAGAGAGUGAGGAGCCUCUUCUAUUGGAGAGAGACAUGCAGAGGGGAUCAUCAUCAUCAUCAUCACCACCACCCCGCUGGGAAGAUGGAGUGUUCCUGGCUAGGCAGGUGCAGAUCGGCAGCCCUGAAUUGGAGGGGGAGGAAGAGGAAGAUGGAGGCUGUGGCUGAUGCAUACCUGGUCCUAAUUUGCUCCCUACCCCUUCUCCUUGGCCCUGAACUACUUCAAGGUUGUCAGAUCUGAAGCAUCUAUAUA